rnacentral:rRNA from 1 species
UACGGGGGGGGCAAGCGUUGUUCGGAAUUACUGGGCGUAAAGGGCCCGUAGGCGGCCAACUAAGUCGGAUGUGAAAUCCCCAGGCUUAACCUGGGAACUGCAUCCGAUACUGGAUGGCUUGAAUUCGGGAGAGGGAUGCAGAAUUCCAGGUGUAGCGGUGAAAUGCGUAGAUAUCUGGAGGAACACCGGUGGCGAAGGCGGCAUCCUGGACCGGCAUUGACGCUGAGGCGCGAAAGCUAGGGGAGCAAACGGG